rnacentral:rRNA from 1 species
GACGAACGCUGGCGGCGUGCCUAAUACAUGCAAGUAGAACGCUGAAGGAGGAGCUUGCUCUUCUGGAUGAGUUGCGAACGGGUGAGUAACGCGUAGGUAACCUGCCUGGUAGCGGGGGAUAACUAUUGGAAACGAUAGCUAAUACCGCAUAACAGUAGAUGUUGCAUGACAUUUGCUUAAAAGGUGCAAUUGCACCACUACCAGAUGGACCUGCGUUGUAUUAGCUAGUUGGUGGGGUAACGGCCCACCAAGGCGACGAUACAUAGCCGACCUGAGAGGGGGGUCGGCCCCCAUGGGAAUGGGACACGGCCCAGACUCCUACGGGAGGCAGCAGUAGGGAAUCUUCGGCAAUGGACGGAAGUCUGACCGAGCAACGCCGCGUGAGUGAAGAAGGUUUUCGGAUCGUAAAGCUCUGUUGUAAGAGAAGAACGAGUGUGAGAGUGGAAAGUUCACACUGUGACGGUAUCUUACCAGAAAGGGACGGCUAACUACGUG